rnacentral:rRNA from 1 species
AGUUCGGAUUGGAGCUGCAACUCGACUACAUGAAGCUGGAAUCGCUAGUAAUCGCGAAUCAGAAUGUCGCGGUGAAUACGUUCCCGGGUCUUGUACACACCGCCCGUCACACCAUGGGAGUUGGAAAUGCCCGAAGCCGGUGACCGAACCUUAGGGACGGAGCCGUCGAAGGUGGAGCCAAUGACUGGGGUGAAGUCGUAACAAGGUAAC